rnacentral:rRNA from 1 species
GUGGAGCAUGUGGCUUAAUUUGACUCAACGCGGGAAAUCUUACCGGGUCCGGACACACUGAGGAUUGACAGGCAAUAUUAUAAAAAACACUAUUUCACUCUCGAGUGUUAUAUUUUUUUUAUAUGUUAAAUAUGCUAGUCCUUUCAUGAUUAUGUGAUAGGUGGUGCAUGGCCGUUCUUAGUUCGUGGAGUGAUCUGUCUGCUUAAUUGCGUUUCACUAUUGGGCUUAUAUAAUUACAUAUGCACGCUUUGCGCUUUGACCCCUUUUCUACAGAAUUGCGCGUGUCUUUGUCUCGUUUAGCUCAUACAAUUAAGCCCUGAAAGCAACGAACGUGACCGCAACCUCUUGUUGCUCUCAAUUUUGACUUCGUUUUACCACACAGUCAUGCUUAUUAUUUGUGUUCACACUCGUGUGCUUCACAUUUUUUAAGUCAAGAGAGCUUUCUAAACUAGAGGGACCGCUGUUACUUUCUUAAACCAGAGGAAGGUUGCGGCAAUAACAGGUCUGUGAUGA